rnacentral:piRNA from 1 species
UGGUUAUCAAUGUUGAUGACAUCAUUUC